rnacentral:rRNA from 1 species
UACGUAGGGUGCAAGCGUUGUCCGGAAUUAUUGGGCGUAAAGAGCUCGUAGGCGGUUUGUCGCGUCUGCUGUGAAAACUCGGGGCUUAACUCCGGGCCUGCAGUGGGUACGGGCAGACUAGAGUGCGGUAGGGGAGACUGGAAUUCCUGAUGUAGCGGUGAAAUGCGCAGAUAUCAGGAGGAACACCGGUGGCGAAGGCGGGUCUCUGGGCCGAUACUGACGCUGAGGAGCGAAAGCGUGGGGAGCGAACAGG